rnacentral:rRNA from 1 species
AUUGAACGCUGGCGGCAGGCCUAACACAUGCAAGUCGAGCGAGCGGCGGACGGGUGAGUAAUGUAUGGGAAACUGCCUGAUGGAGGGGGAUAACUACUGGAAACGGUAGCUAAUACCGCAUACUAUCAGAUGUGCCCAGAUGGGAUUAGCUAGUAGGUGGGGUAAUGGCUUACCUAGGCGACGAUCCCUAGCUGGUCUGAGAGGAUGAUCAGCCACACUGGGACUGAGACACGGUCCAGACUCCUACGGGAGGCAGCAGUGGGGAAUAUUGCACAAUGGGCGCAAGCCUGAUGCAGCCAUGCCGCGUGUGUGAAGAAGGCCUUCGGGUUGUAAAGUACUUUCAGCGGGGAGGCGUUACCCACAGAAGAAGCACCGGCUAACUCCGUGCCAGCCGCCGCGGUAAUAC